AGAAGCGUAAUCUUGCAACAGGCGAGAGCUGCACCCGGAAGCAAGGAUGGAACGGGAGCGGCCCCAUUGAUCAAUGGCCUCCCGAGAACUGCCGAGAACAUCAAUUGAGACAGAAGCGCUUCAGGUGUGGCCCCUGGACCAGCAGCAUCCACCUCACCUGGGAACAUGUUGGAAAUGCAAGUUCUCCCCCUCCCCAGAUCUCCUAAAUCAGAUCCUCAGGGGCGAGGCCAGCACGCUGUGUUUGAACAAACCCUCGCACUGAUUCAGACGCAUGCUCUGCCACAGGCACAAGGUGACAGGUGUCAAGGGAACACAGAAAGACAGAGAGACGAAGGGGAGCUACUGGCAGUACCAACAGCCAAGACCUGGGGCCCUCUCCUCCUGCCUCCAGGAGGCCUGAUUUUCCCUUCCCUGCCUCCCUGCAGAAGUUCAAGGCUGUUCUUUAUGAAAGAACUUACAGGUGGCCUCAGGCCCCCUGUUGAAGGUCAUGGUAUCUUCCCUCUUGUCCUUUCCCAGUCCAGGAGCACUCGGCCGUGACCCCCGAGAGAUCCAUGCCCUGUCAUGCGCCUGCCUCUCAGCCUCUCCCCAGGCUAACUGCUGCAGUGCCAAGGAGGGCCCUGCCCUUUGCCUCUGUGCCCCCAUUGCCAGGGUUUCCUGUUCAGCUGUGAAGGGCUCCCUCGAUUGCUCCAGAGUCUGGAAUUUGGGAACACUUCAAGCAGAAAGUUUAUAAUUCACCUCCCAAUUCUUUCAGCCCUGUGAACUGCCUACUGCUUGAAAAACAAAAAACAUCAAGUGACUGCUGAUUAUGGACUAGAACAGAAAUCAUGCAAAUAUUCUUACUUUGGCUAAGUUAAAAUAGAUUCCAAGGCACAGGCUUUGGCAUGGCAGAAGCCAGGGCCCUCCAUCCAGAUUGGCUGUACCAGGUGACUUCCCUGAGCCCGCAGUUUUCUCACUGAAAAUAAUAAUAAUUGCUAUUACUGUUAUCAGCAUAAUAGCAGAAUUUGUAAGCCCUUUGUCCUUCCAGCCUCUCUCAGAGGUAGGGUGGGGCAGCAGUUCUCUCACUGCUCAUUAGAAUCCCCUGGGGAGGUUUUAAAAUGCAGAUUCCCAGGCUACACUGGGACCAAGAGAGCCCCAGGAUGGCCCAGCCGUCUGCAUUUCUUCAAGCCCUCCUCUGUCCUUGGGUGGGACUAUUGCCCACUGGCCUGUGUUUUCGUUCCUUGGAAAUGGCCCCUCAGUUUUUUUUAUGGGGACCCUACCCACUUCCCUCAGACACACGCACCUCAGGGUGUGACACAGGCCAGGUGGUCAGAGUCAACUCCAGGGGCUUGCAGGCCUUGGCCCUCACACUUGGGUUACAUAAACCACUGCAAAGAACUUAACCGAAGCCAACAUAUGGCAAAUUUUAAAACUAUUAACUUCAUUUAAG
rnacentral:lncRNA from 1 species